UACGUAGGUGGCAAGCGUUGUCCGGAUUUAUUGGGUUUAAAGGGUGCGUAGGCGGCUUUGUAAGUCAGUGGUGAAAUAUGGCAGCUCAACUGUCAAGGUGCCAUUGAUACUGCGGAGCUUGAGUACAGAUGAGGUAGGCGGAAUUUGACGGUGUAGCGGUGAAAUGCUUAGAUAUCGUCAAGAACACCUAUAGCGAAGGCAGCUUACUAGGCUGUAACUGACGCUGAGGCACGAAAAGUGUGGGGGAUCAAACAGG
rnacentral:rRNA from 1 species